rnacentral:rRNA from 1 species
GUCGGGAGUCUUGCACAAUGGGGGAAACCCUGAUGCAGCGACGUCGCGUGUGGGAUGAAGUAUUUCGGUAUGUAAACCACUUUUGCGGGGGGCGAAAAAAAUGACGGUACCCCGCGAAUAAGCCCCGGCUAACUACGUGCCAGCAGCCGCGGUAAUACGUAGGGGGCGAGCGUUGCUCGGAUUGACUGGGCGUAAAGCGCGCGUAGGCGGUCCAUUAAGUGUGCGGUGAAAUUCGGAGGCUCAACCUCCGUCCCGCCGCGCAAACGGAUGGUCUUGAGAUUGGGAGGGGGAUGCGGAAUUCCUGGUGUAGCGGUGAAAUGCAUUGAUAUCAGGAGGAACACCGGCGGCGAAAGCGGCAUCCUGGCUUAUAUCUGACGCUGAGGCGCGAAAGCGUGGGUAGCAAACGGGAUUAGAUAACCUUGUAGUCC